AUGCAGGAAGCCCAGGGAUUGCUAGAAAAUUGUCUUCCAAUGGAUCAGAAUUUAAGUGCUUUCCUCAUGGAAGGUUCAUCUGUCUCAUAGAGACUGGAAAAGAUUGAAUUGCCGGAGAAGCUGUUUCUUUUCACAUCUACUUUGACUUUGCUAGCAAACAUACCCAUAGCCUCCAUUCUUUAUUUGAAAAAUGAAGAUGAAUAAUAUUCUCUACAGCAUCAAAUGUAGUUUGGAUUAAAUGUUAUAAUGUAU